ACAAUAUUGAAGUGCAAAUAAUAGAAGAGGUUAAGUACAAAAAUAAUAGAAGUUAAAAAUAAAGCAUCUAUAGAUAGGGCCUUAAGGAGGUCAGAGGGAAAUAAUGGGAUAGAGGAGUAGAGAACAGGAAGAAGGAAAUGAGGUUAGAAGUAGUUAGUGUGUUAGAGGUGUUAGGAGAGUAAGUGCUCUUUGAAGAGCUCUGUCUUCAGGAGUUUCUUAAAGAUAGUGAGAGAUUCUCCUGAUCUGGUAGUAGAAGGUAGUUAGUUAGAGGUGUUAGGAGAGUAAGUGCUCUUUGAAGAGCUCUGUCUUCAGGAGUUUCUUAAAGAUAGCGAGAGAUUCUCCUGAUCUGGUAGUAGAAGGUAGUUAGUUAGAGGUGUUAGGAGAGUAAGUGCUCUUUGAAGAGCUCUGUCUUCAGGAGUCUCUUAAAGAUAGCGAGAGAUUCUCCUGAUCUGGUAGUAGAAGGUAGUUAGUUAGAGGUGUUAGGAGAGUAAGUGCUCUUUGAAGAGCUCUGUCUUCAGUAGUUUCUUAAAGAUAGCGAGAGAUUCUCCUGAUCUGGUAGUGGAAGGUAGUUUGUUCCACCAUUGGGGAACUCUGUAUGAGAACAGUCUGGAUUGCUUUGUGUGAAUGUUUGGCAAAGUGAGGCGACGUUCAUUGGAGGAGAGCAGCGGCCGGGAGGUAGCGUAAGCCUUCAGGAGCGAGUGCAGGUAGGAAGGAGCCUGUUCUGUCAUCACCUUGUAGGCGAUUGUAAGAGUUUUGAAUUUGAUGCGAGCAUCAACUGGUAGCCAGUGGAGCUCAAUGAGCAGCGGGGUGACAUGUGCCCGUUUUGGUUGGUUGAAGACCAAACGUGCUGCUGCGUUCUGGAUCAUUUGGAGUGGUUUUACUACGCAGGCCGGGAGGCCAGUUAGCAGGGCAUUGCUAGUUGAGGCGUGAGAUGACGACUGCUUGUACCAGGAGUUGGGUGGCCUGUUGCGUCAGAAACGGUCUAAUUUUCCUGAUGUUAUAAAGCGCGAAGCGGCAGGAUCGAGCAACUGAGGCCACAUGGUGCGUGAAGGAGAGCUGGUCAUCAACCAUAACACCCAGGUUCCUAGCAACCUUUGUCGGUGAGAGAGAGUCGAUGCUUAUAGAGAGGUUGUGUUGAAAGGAUGGUUUUGCUGGUAUGACCAGAAGUUCAGUCUUUCCCCUUAUCACCCUAGCACCAUCUACUGUAUCCACCCAGAAAGAGCAAGGCCAAAUGCGCUCUCUCAGGGAUUUGGCUGCUGAUGGCAAGCUGCAUGACCAGGAUGCGAACCAGUGAGCUCACGAUCAUAGGUGUUUUCCUUUGUAUAGUCUAGUAUAGUAGAUCACUUCAUUUAGAUGACUUUGAAUGUUGUCUGGACAUCAUUCCAAUGUAGGAAAAAAAGGAAACAUUGAAUUAAAUUGUGUCUCUACACUUUUGACUGGUAUUGUAAAUUAAUAGAAACAUCAAUAUGGCUGUGGUUCCUAGUUGGUUAAGCAUGAUUCUGUUAAAUUCCAGCAAAUUAUGGAAUCAACCAUCAUACCACCUGUACAAACAGCAAGAGGAGCAAUCUGAAAGUUUUCCCAAGGCCUUUACAGCUCCCCCAAACUAAACAUCAUUAAAAAACUGUGGAAAGACAUCAAAUGAGCCAAGAUGCAAUUGAAUUAUCUAUGUUAUCUCUAUUUGUUGACGCUGAUUCACAAACAUUAAAAUUCUACUGCAACCUAAUUCUGAAUUACAGUCUGUCGUACAGCACAGCUUGUGCAGAUGGAACAAACAAACAUUUUUUUAUUGUUUAAACCAGGGGUGUCCAAACUUUUUUUGUUGGGGGCCAGAAGGAGAAAUAUAUUUGAAGUCACGGGCCAAAGACUCUGUAAUAAAACAAAUAAUGAAAUAUACCACUUUAAACCAUUUUACUUGACUUACCAUCUUUAUCUUUGACAGUGUUGUGUAAACUAAGAUUUUUCAAAUUGAUGUUUAAUUUCAUGAUGUCUCUUAAUAUAAAACUCUAUAAAACGCUUUUAGACUCUUUGCUCUGUUUUUUGCACUAGAAAUGUGCACCCUCUCCGCUUUUAGACUCUUUGCUCUGUUUUUUUGAGCUAGAAAUGUGCACCCUCUCCGCUUUUAGACUCUUUGGUCCAUUUUUCUGCGCUAGAAAUGCGCACCCUCUCUGCUUUUAGACUCUUUUGCCCCGUUUUUUCUGCGCUAGAAAUGCGCACCCUCUCCGCUUUUAGACUCUUUUGCCCCAUUUUUCUACGCUAGAAAUGUGCAUCCUCUCCACUUUAAGACUCUUUGGCCCGUUUCUGACACCUAGUGUUCAAACUUUGAAUCUCACAUUAUAAAAACCAGCUUAACAGCGGGCCAACUUUCAUUCUAUUUCUAAAAUACCUCGCGGGCCACUCCAAAAAAGGAAACGGGCCGCAAAUGGCCCACGGGCCGUAGUUUGGACACCCCUGAUUUAAACUAUUUUAGGAUUGUUAUAUUGGGGUAUUCUGUGGUGUUCUCCCUUUAGCAGAGAUCUGUUACUGCAGCUGUGCAGGGUGGCAUGCAGUAUAUUGAAUACAUAAAUUAAUUCCUUAUACAGAUAAAAUUAACCGAAAACUGUAAUGACUUUUACUGUAAUGAUUGUAUUGUACAAACUGUAUAUUGUGCAGCCCUACUGAGACUCUAAAAUCACUAAUAAGAACUGAUCUUUAUCGCACUGUGAAGUAGACACAAUUAUGUGCAUUUGUUUUUUUCCCAUCUGUUCCUCCAUAAGAAAGCAUAAAAAUUAAGUCACAUUAUAAAAUACAAAAAGAAAUCUGUGCACUUUAAAUCCCCUUAACACACACACACACACACACACAGCUGCUAUCACAAACAACAGACUGCGAUCCUUUUGCCCUUUUAUUACACUUUUAUUAUACAGUCUAGCUGACAUGAACUCCAAGCACACAUUACGUUUAAUGCAUCAUCGUGAAUCACAGUGAUGUGCCAACUGCCGCACAAGCCGCUCUCCCUCACAGAGGACAUUCGCCCUUCUCUCGUCAAGUAAAAAUAGCCACACAGAAUAUACAAAUACAGGUGCAUCUCAAAAAAUUAGAAUAUCAUUGAAAAGUGGCUUUAUUUCAGAAAUUCAGGAAGAAAAAAAGUGAAACUCAUAUAUUAUAUAGAUGUAUUAAACACAGAGUGAGUCCUUUUAUUGAUUAUGAUUAUCGCUUAAAACCGGUACUUUUGGCAGUGUGGGCAGUGUGCCAGGUCCUGCUGGAAAAUGAAAUCUGCAUCUCCAUUAAAAAAGUUGUCAGCAGAGGGAAGCAUGAAGUGCUGUAAGAUUUUGUGGGAAAACAAGAUAAUGGUCACCCCUGAAUGAUAAAAGAGCUAGGGUUUAGCAUGGUUAGCGGCUAAUGCUAGUACUGCUCCAGUGUUAGUGCUAGAGAACUAAACUGAAACUCCUUUUUACUCCUGUGUUUUUUUUUUUUACUGCUCCUUACAACCUGACUAGAAGAAUUCAUACAUAAGGUGCACCGAGUUACAAGGUGCACUGUCGAUUUUGGGAAAAUUAAAUUAUUUAAAGUGCACCUUAUAGUGCAAAAAAUAUGGUGUAUUAAAAUAUUUCAAUGUGAUAUGCAUCCCAAAUAUAUGUAUUAUUUAAAAUGAUUUAAAUAUGUUUUAAACCGUUGCACUGUAUAGAAAUUACAUAAUAUAAUAUAUGUAUACAUUGGUAACAUUUUACAAUAUUAUUAAUUGACACUAAUUAAGAUAUUAGUUAAUUAAGAUAAUAAUUUUAUUUUAAAAGAAUUGUCCCGAUUCAUUAUUAUUUAUUCAUUUUCAGAUGAUCCUCCUCAGUUCAGACACUUAAAAAAAUGGAAUAUCGUUGAAUAGUUUGGGUUUGGAGAGCCAUGACUUCUGCUGGUGUGGUCAAGUCUAAAGUCAGUGUAUUUUUUUCCUGUAAAUCUUACAGCACUUCAUGCUUCUCUCUGGUGUUAACUUUUUUUUAAGUAAUGCGAAUUUUAUUUUCCAGCAGGACUUGGCACAGUGCCCACAUUGCCAAAAGUACCAAUUGGUUUUAUAUAAUAUUCUAAUAUUCUGAGACACUGAUUUUUGGGUUUUUGUUGGCUGUGAUACAUGUGUAAUACAUCUAUAUAAUACUGAAUUACUGAAAUAAAGUAAAAAUUUCAAUGAUAUUCUAAUUUUUACAUUUUUUUGUGAUGCACCUGUAUGUACAGUAGGUUGUGUGGCUUAAAAAAAAAAAAAAAAACAGGAGCUCUUGCUCAUCAUUGCCUCAUCAGUCUGUUCCAUUCUAAAGGACUAUUUGCACAAUGAUUUAUUUAACUUUAUAAUUGUGAAGAAUGUAGAUAUCUGAACAUCCUGAGUGAGUGAGCUUCAUAACAACAGCUGUUCAUCUACAGUGUGUGUGUGUGUGUGUGUGUGUGUGUGUGUAGAUAUGGUGGGGGAGGAUGUGUGGUGUAUGGUGGGGGUGGAUUCGUGCCUCCAGCAGUAGAAGAGCAGAAGAAGGGGAAGCCUACCUUGCUCAGAAUAGCAUCUUGUUUUACGCUACUGGAAGGACGAGAAGUUUACCUCCACAGCAAAGAAAUGAUGAUUCACCCUCAGAUCUGCUCUGGGGCAAAACGGAUGCAUCUGUUUCGUAACGCUUUUGUAGGCGGGGAACUCGCGGACAGCUUCACGCAACACGCUGCAAAAAAAUAAAAUAAAAUAAAUAAGUGAAGUCAGAUGAUUUCUCUCCAAAAAAGGGAAAUUCUCUAUCGCCAUAAGGGAUCAAAAGUUGUGAACCUCUCUAUGUUGGCUUCUUCUCUCCGAGGCUUCGCAGCCCAGGCUCGGUGGGCCGAGCUAAUUUAGGUUGCUUACAGAAAUGCUGUCAUUUAACGCUAGCCAAGCAUGAGGGAGGAAAUAAAUCAUGCAUAUGUUGCUCCGCUUUCCCUCCGUCUCCACCUCUCUCGAGUCCCAGAGUCCCAGGCCUUCAAAUCCCAUGAAAAUGAACUGAAACACUGACAAAACCCAGAUACCCUGAGCCCUGACCUCCUGCCCUCAAAUAUAUGGAAUUAAUUAGUCAAAAAAAAAGUCUCCGCCUGGAUUUAAGUAAGUAAAUGAUGUGGGGUUGGUUGGUUGGUGCUUCAGCUGGUCUACAGGUUUAGGUUCAGCAACAGUAUGUGCUGCUGAAAGAAUGAGGUCAGGUGACUCCCUGAAUAUACUGAAUAAAGACCAGGUUAUUCCAUCAAUGGAUUUUUUAAUAAAAGAAAUAUUCCAAAAUUACAAUGCCAGGAUUCAUGGAGCUAGAAUUGAGAAGAGUUCAGGGUUCAGGGAGCAUGAGAUCAUCAUUUAUCAUUUUCACACAUGGAUUGAGAGAGAGUUCACCACAGAGUCCAGAUCUUAACCUCAUUGAGAGUCUUUGGGAUGGAGAAGUGCUGCUUUGUGCAGUGGUCAGACUCUACCAUCAUCAUUUUCUCAGAGGACGUCUGAAAAAAACACAUACAUGAACGGGAAUAGUUUCUCAGGGGGUUCUGGGGUAAUUUUCUCUUUUUUGUGUUUUUUUUUUUCCUCUGUGAUUUUAUUCCCGGUCCAGAAUGACUAUGUUUGUGUUUUUCUCAGACGUCCUCAACGAAAAUUACAGGCUGAAUUAACUACUGUUUUUUGCUGAACUCAGUGGUCCUCUGGUAAUUUUACUCCGGGUUCAGAGUCACAUCUCUGAGUUUCUACACCUCACGUUUAAUAAAAUAGCUAUUUGUCCAUUGCCACACACCAUAGUUACACUUUGGGUGCGCGUUUCCACAGAGAUCCGUGUAAACACACCAGUGAGUGGAAAUGGAGGAACUACCGAACGCGAUGUCAUGUGACCGAGAAAGCCUAAAAAUGUACUGGUCCUCCUGUUUUUUCAAUUGCAGUCCAAAUGCAAGAGUUUUAUCGCUUAGUAGAAGUGUGAAAUAUUUUUCACAGUCAUCCCCUAGAGAAACUAAUCCCGUCCGGAUAGGGCUUUUGAGUGUAAUUUCAUUCAUUCAUUCAAAAACUAACUUUCAAUGGAAGUCAGUUUAAAAAGAUUUUGUUCCAAGUAAUUUAGGAUUAUUUCUAUGCUAUUUCUGCAAGAUUCACAUUUUGUCACAUUAGUGAAAAAUUAAACAAUUUUUUUUUAUCUUUCCGAUGGUUUAUGGUUGGCAAUAACUGACCCGUCCAUGCUCUGAACACAAGUACUUUCUGUCGUAGCUAAGUGUGAAAAUCCCAUUAAAUUUAAUGAGCAGGUUUGUUAGAGUCAAGUGAUGUUUAUUUAGGCAAAUGUAAAACUGUUUAAACAGACUGAAAGAAAGCUUUUCCAGUCUUCUACAGCAGCAUAGCAGCAGAGUUCAUAAGGCCUGAGGUAAAAAAAUAUAUAUAUAUAUUCCAAUAAAUAAAUGUUCUUUUUUUUUCUCAGCAUCAUAUAUCCUACAUAGAAAAUAUUCCUAAAAAGAUGUAAGAAUUCCCAAAACAAUCUUUUUAAAAACAGGCUAAAAAAUGGAAGGAGUAGUUUGGGAGGGGCACUGAGUGACGAGUGUGUAGAGGUGUAUGAAGGUACAGUGUCUCAGUGUCUCAUCUGUCACAUUGCUAAUGAAAUGAAGUGCUUGGCUUGCUAUGGGCUUCUUUAGAUGUAAUGAAACAUUGAAUUUGUAGAUUAUUCACUGCCUCCGAACAUUUUAAUGCAGCUGAGACAGCAGCCCAUACUCAUUCCUAAACUGAAAUUAAUAAAAUAUAAGAUAUAUACAUCAUUUCCACAUUGAACACAAUACAUUACAUCAACACAGGCAUUGCCAACAUAUGUUUGCAUUCACUGAGCUGUGCAUGUUUGAAUAAAUGAAAAAUAAAUAAUGUAUUUUUAUUGUGUACAUACAUACCGGUCUGACUGAGAGGGUCCUGAGCCCUAUUCUCAUUUUCUGCAGCUAUUUCCAACUGAACAUAGCCGGGGACGGACAGAGAUGCACUAUCAUGCUGUAGAUAUUAAAGCCUCUGUGCUUGUGUACGGUUUUGCAUACAAUGUUGUGUCAAUAUUGUGAAUAAAAUAAAUAUAUGUAUGAAAUCUA